rnacentral:lncRNA from 1 species
ACUUGAACAUUUUGGACACGAAUUCUCCUCAAGAAACGGUUGUACUAGCAGCAAAGACCCAUCCAUCACGAACAACAAACUCAGCAGUCAGCACAUUGCACUUCUUUGACAACCGGAACAAGAUAGCAAAUCAAUGACAGUUUUUAGCCGAACUUCUCCCUGCUCAGUACUAUAGUCCCAAGAUAGCAGAUUCAAGAUUUCAGUAGGAAGACGGCCAAAAGGC